rnacentral:rRNA from 1 species
UACAGAGGGUGCGAGCGUUAAUCGGAAUUACUGGGCGUAAAGCGCGCGUAGACGGUUUUGUAAGUCAGAUGUGAAAUCCCUGGGCUCAACCUGGGAACUGCAUUUGAGACUGCAUGGCUAGAGUAUCGAAGAGGGAAGUGGAAUUUCCGGUGUAGCGGUGAAAUGCGUUGAGAUCGGAAGGAACGCCCGUGGCGAAAGCGAGGUCCUGGACGUUUUCUGACGCUGAGACGCGAAAGCCAGGGGAGCGAACGGG